rnacentral:rRNA from 1 species
UACGUAGGGUGCGAGCGUUGUCCGGAAUUAUUGGGCGUAAAGAGCUCGUAGGUGGUUUGUCGCGUUGUUCGUGAAAACUCACAGCUUAACUGUGGGCGUGCGGGCGAUACGGGCAGGCUGGAGUACUGCAGGGGAGACUGGAAUUCCUGGUGUAGCGGUGGAAUGCGCAGAUAUCAGGAGGAACACCGGUGGCGAAGGCGGGUGUCUGGGCAGUAACUGACGCUGAGGAGCGAAAGCGUGGGGAGCGAACAGG